UACGGAGGAUGCGAGCGUUAUCCGGAUUUAUUGGGUUUAAAGGGUGCGUAGGCGGACGCUUAAGUCAGCGGUAAAAUUGCGGGGCUCAACCUCGUCGAGCCGUUGAAACUGGGUGUCUUGAGUGGGCGAGAAGUACGCGGAAUGCGUGGUGUAGCGGUGAAAUGCAUAGAUAUCACGCAGAACUCCGAUUGCGAAGGCAGCGUACCGGCGCCCAACUGACGCUGAAGCACGAAGGCGUGGGUAUUGAACAGG
rnacentral:rRNA from 1 species